UUUAUCAACAAUAAAACUUAUAACAAACAUAAAAACUAAAGAAAAAUUAGAAACCAAAAUUCUAUCACUGUACGAAAUGAGAUUAGAAACAAAAACUCUAAAACAACUAACAUUAAAGAAUAAAACUUGUUGACAAAAAAAAAAGAAGAAUAAAACUUAUUCUGUCAGUUGAGAAAAUAAAGUAUAACAGCCAAAAAGUUCCUAUUGGCUGAUUCACAAGCACAAGGAUCAAGCUUUUCACCGUCGGAUGAGAUUGGAUCCAAUGGACCAAAGUUAUUCCUUUUCUUCAGAUUUCCAUUCAUAUGCUUUCUUCACUGCUGGCCUCCGCAUCUCCUCUCUUCUCAUUCGUCAGAAGAUCUUUGCUCCGUGUCUCUCCACCAUCGCAAGAGCUCUGCCUUCAUCGCUCUCCAUCUUCUCUACCGCCUCCGUUAAUGGUCGUUUAUUAUAAGUUCUACUUCCAUCAUCUAUCUUCUGCGUGGCUUUUAUUUUGGUGCAGGUUGAAGAAUUGAAUGAGUGAUCUCUCUGUCUUCCAUCAUGUGAUGUCACGCUCGCCGUUCACCACCACUCCACCACGGAAGGUGAUGAUGCAGAAGAAGCUUGAUGGUGGAUGAGACAAGACAGCGGUGGUCGCAGUGGCUGUUGUGCGGCGGAGGCAAGGCCAGACAUGGCGGCUGGAGGAGGCAAGGCGAGGCACGCAUGGCCGCUUAUUUUUUUUAGGGUUGAAUUUUUUUUUAUGAUUUGGUUUAGUUAUCUAAACCGAAUUUUAUUUUAAACCAAUUUCAUUUUGUAAACCGAGUUAUAUUUAUUUCGAUUUAUAGACAGCAACCAAUUGAAACUGA